AUACGUAGGGAGCGAGCGUUAUCCGGAAUUAUUGGGUGUAAAGGGUGCGUAGACGGGAGUCUAAGUUGGUUGUGAAAUCCCUCGGCUUAACUGAGGAACUGCAACCAAAACUGGAUUUCUUGAGUGCAGGAGAGGAAAGUGGAAUUCCUAGUGUGAGCGGUGAAAUGCGUAGAUAUUAGGAGGAACACCAGUGGCGAAGGCGACUUUCUGGACUGUAACUGACGUUGAGGCACGAAAGUGUGGGGAGCAAACAGGAUUAGAUACCCUGGUAGUCCACACUGUAAACGAUGGAUACUAGGUGUAGGAAAUGAUUUCAUUAUCUGUGCCGAAAGCUAACGCAAUAAGUAUCACACCUGGUGAGUACGGCCGCAAGGCUGAA
rnacentral:rRNA from 1 species